CUCUCGAUCGACUGAGGCGUUACACUUAUAAUUAAUCAAUUAUCGAAUAGAUCGCGUGACAGUGUUUUUAGGAAAACACGAACAGUUAACUAUACUCGAAUAAUUAAAGAUUGUUCUUCAAUUAAUAUUUCCACAUUUUAGAUCUUUGAUUGUGCUAAGAUUUCUCAUGAACAUCUACAUUUCUGUAAUUAAUGUGUAAUUGAUGAUAACAUGAAUAAUAACAACAUAUUAUUUCACAGUUAGGUGACUCGUUAACCGUGGCGCAAAGGAUGUGAAAUUAAAUACAUUCGUCUCGAUAAAGAUAUUACAUUACACGUGGAUGGUGAACAUGAAGCGUUUAUAAGAGGUUAUAUGCGAAUUAUUAAAAUAUAAAGGAUAGAAAAAACAGCGAUUCGGAUGAUCCCGUGACUACUUUAUUAGAAAAUGUAAAACAGAAUAAUUCAGGCGGUAUCUUCUAUCAACUCCUGAGGAAUCAAUUCCUCUGCUGGAGAUUGAUGCGACAUGGUUACAGCGUGAUUCUCCACUUCCUUCAAUACUCUCAAUAAAUUUCCACCCACCAAUUUCUUAAUAUCCAAAGCCGACCAUCUUCGAUCUCUCGUUAAUUCGGCCAAUAACAAAGGAUAACCAGAAACGUCUGGAAGUUCAACUGGUGGACUGAAAACAUGCCGCAUUCAUUUUAUUUUUACUUAAAAAUAACAUAAUUCACAAAAGAUCGUAAUAUAAAAAAGGAAAACAUUUUUUUUUAUUCUAUUAAAAAUAUUCUUAUGUUCUAGUAAAAAAAGAUGGGAGAUCGCAAGUUAUUUGGUUAUUAUAAAAGAUCGCAUCUUAAAAAGGUUUAAGGAAAUUUAUUAUGUUUACCUCGAUAUUCCAUCAUAACCAGCUCCAAGACCUACAUGAUUAACACCAGCUAUUCGCCUUAUAUGAUUGAUAUGAGCUAUAAAGAACAACUAUAUAUUUUUUUCCUUUUUUUUAUUUUUUUAUGCAAUAUAUAAAAAACAAUUAUUUAGUAUUGAUCAAAAUGAAAAUUUUGUUUUUAAUGAUAUUUUAAUACACACAUACAUACAUACCUAUCACAUCAUACAUAGAAGCUUUAUCUCCACAGCUUAAAUGUGCACUGUCAAAGCUUACCAUAACCAAACCACCAUUCACCGACUGAAACAAAAGAUAAGACAUGGUGACACCAGCAUUCUCGGUUUUGUAUACUUUUCUCGUCUAUCUACGAGGUAAUAAAUAAUACUGUUGUUGCAAAAAAAUAUAUAUAAAAUAUGGAUAGAAGAAGAUUUAGUUGAAAUAACGAAAUUAUAAAUAAUUGCAUUCAACAGCAGCAUUGAUUGGUGUCACAUGGCAUUAUUUAUGUUGCUGGCUCUAAGAGCCUUAUAUAUUUUAUUCAAUACAGAAUAAAAUUCCAACCAAUGAAAUAGAAAAAUAGUCAAUUAACUUUUAAUUACAAUUUAAAUUUAAUCUAGCUUAAACAUCAUUUUAAUGAUAUUUAC